rnacentral:rRNA from 1 species
GACGAACGCUGGCGGCGUGCUUAACACAUGCAAGUCGAGCGGAAAGGCCCUUCGGGGUACUCGAGCGGCGAACGGGUGAGUAACACGUGAGUAACCUGCCCCAGACUUUGGGAUAACCUCCGGAAACGGAGGCUAAUACCGAAUAUUACCGGGUUCCGCAUGGGGCUUGGUGGAAAGUUUUUCGGUCUGGGAUGGACUCGCGGCCUAUCAGCUUGUUGGUGGGGUAAUGGCCUAGCAAGGAGAGGACGGGUAGCCGGCCUGAGAGGGCGACCGGCCACACUGGGACUGCGACACGGCCCAGACUCCUGGGGAUGGCAGCAGUGGGGAAGGUUGCACAAUGGGCGGAAGCCUGAUGCGGCGACGCCGCGUGAGCGAUGACGGCCUUCGGGUUGUAAACCUCUUUCGGCAGGGACGAGGCGCAAGUGACGGUACCUGCAGAAGAAGCGCCGGCCAACUACGUGCCAGCAGCAGCCGCGG